UACGUAGGUGGCGAGCGUUGUCCGGAUUUACUGGGUGUAAAGGGCGCGUAGGCGGAUUUGCAAGUCAGAUGUGAAAUACCGGGGCUUAACUCCGGAACUGCAUUUGAAACUGUAGACCUUGAGUGCCGGAGAGGAAAGCGGAAUUCCUAGUGUAGCGGUGAAAUGCGUAGAUAUUAGGAGGAACACCAGUGGCGAAGGCGGCUUUCUGGACGGUAACUGACGCUGAGGCGCGAAAGUGUGGGUAGCAA
rnacentral:rRNA from 1 species